rnacentral:lncRNA from 1 species
CAAACUUGCUACAGCACAGCUCACGACGCGCUGACACUGAGUAAAUACUAGGAAAGCCAGCUAAUCAACAGCGACAGCAACAUGUCAAGUGAUAAAACAACAUGCAACAACGACAAGCAGCUUAGGGGCUGCACAUAUGAACAUCUGUGGCAAGCAUGGCAACUUGCCACACAUCUCGCUAAUGACGCGUUCGCGCACAGAGCUCUUUUAAUCGUUUUUUGUGUUUCUCGCAAAUGUUAAAAAUAACUUUAUGAAAAUAUGUACAGAAUAUUGCCACGUUUUUUCGUUUCUUGUUUGCUAGUGAGUUGCACUAGUCUCAGCUGCAUGGCCAAUUCAUUGUCAUCAUUUUAAUAUCGGCAAUAAUUUCAUAAUGGCAGCUGCGCAUGCGCAACAGUCAACACACAACACGGACGGGCCACCCAUAAAGCUCAAUCAAGCGCAGCCCUGGCAACCCGCGCUCACGCCGCCCCUCGCGUGCAACUCGUGAACUAAGCAACAACAAUAGCAUAUCGACAAACAUCAUUACAGGCGUUGUGGACCCCGCGCAAAUACCUGCCGAUGCCGCACUUAAUUUCCGUCAUUUGUUCCCAUGAAUUAACUUUUUGCCGAAACAAAAAUGAAGGUAAAAUGUUGAAAUAAAGUAAAGAAAAUCUUUGCUGCAGACGAGUAAGUACAAGUUGCAAUGCAAGAGGCAGAACCAAUAAAUUUAUAUCAUAGCCGGUCUAUGGAUCUACUAGUGCAGAAUGUAUCAAGCGCUUACUGUUACUACGCGCGCCUUUGACCGCGUUGUGCAACUCACCCGCGAGCCACAACUCGUGUGCAUCACAACUCAUCGGUUGCACGUAUGUAUGUAAAUAGAAGACGAGCAAUUACGCCGGCGCAUGAAUGAUAAUCAACGGCGGUGGAGAGACAGCGGCUUUGCUGACAUUGAAAUUGCACGAAGAACUUCUUCAUCCGCUCGCAUCAACUUGCAGCUACAUUGUUGCACCAUCACAAAACCGCACGUUCAACCAAGACGUCAUCAUCAGUGUCAGUAUCGGUAUCAGCCGCAGUCGAUGUGACUAGCAAAUCUAUAGGCAGACGCGUCGACGACUCCGGCUGCAGGGAAGUUUGUGGCUUGGCAUGAAUCGCUCUUGUAAGGGUAUCAGUGUUGCGUCACGAAGCUUUUCGUGCAACAAAAUAAAGGCCUCAAAACAUGACCACGCGGACUCUCACAUCUGCGCAGUGUUGCUGAGGCCGAAAACUAAAUAAACACUUUGGAAAGUAGGCGACAAGUCGAGAGCACCUAGCUUAAGCUUUUCUGUCUUUGAAGAAAAUAAGGUGGAAGUUGGAAAAAUGCAAACUUUUAGAAAAAGGCCAACAGGUGGCAACCCUGCAAAAAAAUUCGUUUGACAGCAACCUGUAUUUCGUUCGUAUAGCGGCAAUGUCUCAUUUACUUCCCUAAUUCAUUUUAACACAUUUUGAACAGGUGGCAACCUUUGCCCAAAGUUUUUGUUACAAAUUUGAAAAGCUUGUUAUUUAUGUGGCAAUCUGCCCCGAAAAUAUUCAACAUAUUGCAAUAAUUUUUUGAUCCCUUUUGUAUCUUCAACUUGCUGUUGAUUCAUCAUUAGGCAAGGUGCCUAAAAGCUCGGCUCAACGCUUUUGUAAUUAAGGAUCAACUCGAAUAAGGAAUUUUUGGAUUGAAAUACGUUGAGAAUUCGUUAGCAAAAGAAAUCAUGAAGGUAAAUGUAAUUUAAAAGUAUCGCGAAUUCAGUAUUCCCUUUGUCUCCUUCAAAGAAAUCAUCACAGAUAUAUUGCCGUGCCCUCAUGGUGGAGUUCUAUCCCCCUUCUAUGGAGUCUAAUAGUAGAUGAGCUCUUUCAGUUGCUUAUUACAAUGGGAUUCGUUGCCAGGAGUACACCGAUGACAUUUUCAUAAUGGUACCAGACGCCACAUACAGUUACAUAUACACACACACUUGUGGCAAGCCUACUUGCGGACUCACGAAAUUCAGCCAAUAUCGAUAUUGUCUGUUGCAGUAUUAGAUCCCACUUGACAGCAACAUGACAGCUCCCCUUAGCGGCGUGGCAGCAGUUAGAGUGUCUUUCAAUUGCUCCAACCACCUUCGUCUUUGUAGCCAUACUUAUUUGCAGCGCACUAAGCUCAAUAUCAUGUAGAUAUGCAUCGAUAUGUAUAGGCAGAAAUAGCAACGAAUGGGCUGACAGGCAUGUCGCAUUGUCUGUUUCACCGAAUUUACAACUCACAGGGGCUUACAAGUGAGAUUUUCAUGUUUCACCAGCGCAUACGAGAUGUGACACUUUAUCUCUUUUUACGCCCGUAUUUGAUGUAUGCUAUUUGGAGGAAUGUUUGCAGCCAUGGUGCAUUGGAGAGGUGUCGAGAUAUGUGCAUUUACAAGCCUGAAAAAAGGAAACAUGUGAGGAUUGUGACAUUGGAGCAGUUUAAUCCGAAUUUCAGUGGUGCAGAUACUUAAUUCAGCGAUUUUUGGAACUUAUUAAUUAAAUUUAGAAACAAGUGUCUUGAAGUAUUUUAAUAUUUUUAACUCUUUUUGGUGUUCAAACUU